GAAAACAUAUCCGAGAAGCGACGGCGAGCAUAUAUAUGUCCGUGAAAGAGAAUGUCAUUCACUUUAGCAGGAAAGGCCGAGCCACACACGAGAUCACGAAAUGCAUCUGCUAUCUCUUGCUUUAAAGUUAUGGCUUUGGGGUAUUUCAGGCAUCGUAAGCUUGGGAAAAUCUGAGGCCAACAGCUGAUUGCCUGCUGGAGCUGAAGGUCGGAGUUUGCAGAGCCGCAUAUCCGAGGUGGUUUUUCAAUCGCACCGCAAAAACAUGCCAGAGUUUUAUAUAUGGCGGAUGUCAUGGCAACGAAAACAACUUUAUGAGUGAAAAAGAAUGCCAGCAACAGUGCCUAGGCAAUGUAAUUCUGGAGAAACCUUCACCAAAAGAUGUUUGCUUCCUCGAAGAAGCUGUGGGAAGGUGCAGAGCGGCAUUCCAACGGUGGCACUUUAAUAUGAAACGGGGAAGUGCGAAAUUUUGUUUACUGGAGGUUGCCACGGCAACAAGAACAAUUUCCUGACCAAAAUUGAAUGUGAAGAAUUUUGCCAUGAGUACAUAAAAGAUCCCUGUGCACAGCCGAUUAUCCCGGCUUCGAAGAAGAAGUGCGACCACGAGAAGACAGAAGAGAGAUUUGGUUACAACAAAGCCACCCAAAAAUGUGAAAGUUUUUGUUCAUUCCACUUGCAAGGAAAAUAGGAACAACUUCAAGACCAGGAAGGCAUGCCUCUUAGCUUGCGCGAAAGAAUCACCUUGCUUGUACAAGACGAAGCACCACCGCUCACGACGUUACAAAUCAUACUUUUACAGCGCCAACCUAGAUCAAUGUCUAGAAACUUCCACAUAUCUUUAUAAGAAAGAUAUCUGGCCGACGAACAAUCGGUUCAGGAAACGGGAAGAAUGCAUAAGAGAAUGCAUGCCGGCACAUGCAACGCAUAUGAGAGUGCAGAAGCCAUAACAGCGCAUAAUCUAUAUGUAGAGUAUACCCAACGGAAGUGUUCUUGUUUCACGAAUAAAUGCAUAUAAAUAAUAAACUGGCCAUAAUUCAAGCUU